CGAAGAAGCACAGACGAUCGCCGGUUUCACCAGAAACGGGAGGAAAGUCCGGGCUCCGCAGGGCAGGAUGGUUCUUAACGGGAACCGAGGGUGACCUCAGGGAAAGUGCCACAGAGAGAAGACCGCCUGUUAAAAUAUUUCAACAGGUAAGGGUGAAAGGGUGAGGUAAGAGCUCACCAGCUCUGAUGGUGACAUCAGAGGCUAGGUAAACCCCAUCCGGAGCAAGGCCAAAUAGAGAGGCGUUUGAGGGCGACCCGUCCGAAGCUUCCGGGUUGGCUGCUUGAGUCCGUCGGCAACGGCGGACCUAGAGGAAUGAUCGUCCCCCGCUAUCGGGCAACCGAUUUCGGGUACAGGACCCGGCUUAUGAGCUUCUUCGACCA
rnacentral:RNase_P_RNA from 2 species